rnacentral:rRNA from 1 species
CAGGUCGAGGUGUAGCGUAUGGAGGGGGAAGAAAUGGGCUACAUUCUCUACCUAGAGAAUAACGAACGGUGUAAUGAAAUAUACACCCGAAGGAGGAUUUAGCAGUAAGCAAGAAACAGAGUGUCUCGCUGAAACCGGCCAUGAAGCGCGCACACACCGCCCGUCACUCUCCCCAAGCUACAUCUUAACCAUAGCUAAUAAAACAUCCCACACAAAGGGGAGGCAAGUCGUAACAUGGUAAGUGUACCGGAAGGUGCACUUGGAAAAAC